AAGGUUUUAAGUUAAACUAAACUAAUAGCUUUCAAAGCUACAAAUAAAGAAUUAUAGUCCUUUAAGCCUUA
rnacentral:tRNA from 1 species